AGCGACUAUACUGUGAAACUGCGAAUGGCUCAUUAAAUCAGUUAUGGUUUAUUUGAUGGUACCUACUACUUGGAUAACCGUAGUAAUUCUAGAGCUAAUACAUGCAGGAAGACCCGACUCACGAAGGGUUGUAUUUAUUAGAUAAGAAACCUUCCCCUUUGGGUUGCGUGCCGAGUCACAAUAACUGCUCNAAUCGCAGGGCUUCACGCCGGCGAUGGUUCAUUCAAAUUUCUGCCCUAUCAGCUUUCGAUGNUAGGAUCGAGGCCUACCAUGGCGUUUACGGGUAACGGAGAAUUAGGGUUCGAUUCCGGAGAGGGAGCCUGAGAGAUGGCUACCACAUCCAAGGAAGGCAGCAGGCGCGUAAAUUGCCNGAAUCCUGACACAGGGAGGUAGUGACAAGAAAUAACAAUACAGGGCUACAUCUAGUCUUGUAAUUGGAAUGAGUACAAUUUACAUCUCUUCACGAGGAUCAAUUGG
rnacentral:rRNA from 1 species